GCCGACAGCUAGCUCUCUGCAGCUCUCACAUGGUUACCCGCUGAAGCUAAGCAGGGCUGCGCCCGGUCAGUACCAGGAUGGGAAACCACAUGGGAAAACUAGGUUGCUGCCCGGA
rnacentral:rRNA from 1 species